CUACGGGUGGCUGCAGUGGGGAAUAUUGCACAAUGGAGGAAACUCUGGUGCAGCAACGCCGCGUGGAGGAUGACACUUUUCGGAGCGUAAACUCCUUUUAUAUAGGAAGAAGAUGACGGUACUAUAUGAAUAAGCGCCGGCUAACUCCGUGCCAGCAGCCGCGGUAAUACGGAGGGCGCAAGCGUUACUCGGAAUCACUGGGCGUAAAGAGCGUGUAGGCGGAUUAAAAAGUCAGAAGUGAAAUCCUAUAGCUUAACUAUAGAACUGCUUCUGAAACUCUUAAUCUAGAAUAUGGGAGAGGUAGAUGGAAUUUCUGGUGUGGGGGUAAAAUCCGUAGAGAUCAGAAGGAAUACCGAUUGCGAAGGCGAUCUACUAGAACAUUAUUGACGCUGAGACGCGAAAGCGUGGGGAGCAAACAGGAUUAGAUACCCCUGUAGUC
rnacentral:rRNA from 1 species